rnacentral:tRNA from 1 species
GCCUAGCUGGCUCAGCCAGUAGAGCAUGUGACUCUCAGUCUCAGGGUCAUGAGUUCAAGCCCCAUGUUGGGUG